UACGGAGGGGGCUAGCGUUGUUCGGAAUUACUGGGCGUAAAGCGCACGUAGGCGGCUUUGUAAGUUAGAGGUGAAAGCCCAGAGCUCAACUCUGGAACUGCCUUUAAGACUGCAUCGCUUGAAUCAUGGAGAGGUCAGUGGAAUUCCGAGUGUAGAGGUGAAAUUCGUAGAUAUUCGGAAGAACACCAGUGGCGAAGGCGACUGACUGGACAUGUAUUGACGCUGAGGUGCGAAAGCGUGGGGAGCAUACAGG
rnacentral:rRNA from 1 species